ACCCAUGAGACUGAAACUGCACAGAUUCUGAGGCCUGCACGUGGGGAGCUAUGCGAAUUUUAUUUGAAGCACUGUGAGCUUCCAGAAUGCUGGACACAUUCACAUUCUGUUUGUUGAUGAUGUGUGCCAUAGUCACAGUUACUAGUGAAGAAAAUCAAAAACUGACAGCUGUGAAAGCCAUUGGCCUAACACUACCCAUAUUUCACCCUCUGAUGUCUAAAAACAAUGCAGCAGGACAUGCUGCUUUCUUCAUCGUGACUGAAACAAUCAGUGCAUCAGCAGCAAUCUGAGCACGUGUUUCGGCUGGUUCCAGGUUGAUGGCCAUCCUGCCUUGCUUUGAGGGUAUUAUGGCAACAACUGAUGGGGUGCUUUUUGGAGGCAGUUUGGUUUUCUCACUGUCACCACUGUCAGUAACAAUAUUGGAAUUCUUCAGGCUGCAUGCUUCAGAUGUGACUUGAUGUAUUUCUGUGGCCCCCCUCACCUCAGGAAUGGUCAAUUUCUUCAGUGGCUGACUGCUGAUUCCAAAACCACAACCCAGGCUUCUAGACAAAUUGAAUAAAAG
rnacentral:lncRNA from 1 species